rnacentral:rRNA from 1 species
AUUGAACGCUGGCGGCAGGCCUAACACAUGCAAGUCGAACGAGUGGCGGACGGGUGAGUAAUGUCUGGGCAACUGCCUGAUGGAGGGGGAUAACUACUGGAAACGGUAGCUAAUACCGCAUACCAUCAGAUGUGCCCAGAUGGGCUUAGCUAGUUGGUGGGGUAACGGCUCACCAAGGCGACGAUCCCUAGCUGGUCUGAGAGGAUGACCAGCCAAACUGUAACUGAGACACGGGCCAGAGUCCUAGGGGGGGACGCUGUGGGGAAUAUUGCACAAUGGGCGCAAGCCUGAUGCGGCCAUGCCGCGUGUAUGAAGAAGGCCUUCGGGUUGUAAAGUACUUUAAGCGGGGAGGCGUUACCCGCAGAAGAAGCACCGGCUAACUCCGUGCCAGCAGCCGCGGUAUAC